CAGGAUCAGGAACCAGGACUCAGUGCAGUGAUCAGUGAUACAUACACCUCUGUUAAUCUUGAUGACAAUGGAUCGGAGCCUGCAGCUACUGAGCCGUCCCAGGAAAUGUGAAUGCCAGUGCGACAUUAGUUUGAUGUUGAGUUAAGAUGACAAGGAAAUAGGAAAUGGACAGCAUAAAGAAGCAGCAUGUCAAACAAGCAUGGACAUUGCUCUCAUUACGACUAAGUGGUGUUCACCUGCAAACUGGAAUAAUGAAAAAGUUGUUCUAGUUUUAUUGUGUUGUUUUAAGUCUCAUGUGAAUAUUGUAUAUACACAUUUAAUUUUCACCUUGAAA